AACGAACGCUGGCGGCGUGCCUAACACAUGCAAGUCGUGCGAGAAAGUUCCUUCGGGAGCGAGUAAAGCGGCGCACGGGUGAGUAACACGUAGGUAACCUGCCCCCCAGUCUGGAACAACUAGAGGAAACUCUAGCUAAUGCCGGAUGAGACCACGAUCCCUUCGGGGGUUGCGGCCAAAGAUGGCCUCUACUUGUAAGCUAUCGCUGAGGGAUGGGCCUGCGGGCCAUGAGCUUGUUGGUGAGGUAACGGCUCACCAAGGCUGUGAUGGCUAGCUGGUCUGAGAGGAUGACCAGCCACACUGGGACUGAGACACGGCCCAGACUCCUACGGGAGGCAGCAGUGGGGAAUAUUGCGCAAUGGGCGAAAGCCUGACGCAGCGACGCCGCGUGGGUGAUG
rnacentral:rRNA from 1 species